UAGGGAAUCUUCCACAAUGGACGCAAGUCUGAUGGAGCAACGCCGCGUGAGUGAAGAAGGUUUUCGGAUCGUAAAGCUCUGUUGUUGGUGAAGAAGGAUAGAGGUAGUAACUGGCCUUUAUUUGACGGUAAUCAACCAGAAAGUCACGGCUAACUACGUGCCAGCAGCCGCGGUAAUCGUAGGUGGCAAGCGUUGUCCGGAUUUAUUGGGCGUAAAGCGAGCGCAGGCGGAAGAAUAAGUCUGAUGUGAAAGCCCUCGGCUUAACCGAGGAAUUGCAUCGGAAACUGUUUUCUUGAGUGCAGAAGAGGAGAGUAGAACUCCAUGUGUAGCGGUGGAAUGCGUAGAUAUAUGGAAGAAUACCAGUGGCGAAGGCGGCUCUCUGGUCUGCAACUGACGCUGAGGCUCGAAAGCAUGGGUAGCGAACAGGAUUAGAUACCCUGGUAGUCCAUGCCGUAAACGAUGAGUGCUAAGUGUUGGGAGGCUUCCGCCUCUCAGUGCUGCAGCUAACGCAUUAAGCACUCCGCCUGGGGGAGUACGACCGCAAGGUUGAAAC
rnacentral:rRNA from 1 species